rnacentral:lncRNA from 1 species
CGAAGCUAGGGCCACCAUGGCGGACCGCAGGCGGCGGCUCCGGCCGGGGACGUUGGCCCCGGUGCGCGAGGGCGUGAACUGCAGGUCCAGCUCUUAUCAAAGGUGCUGGAAGUGCUUGAUCCUGACCGGAAGCUGGAGGACACAUGGGCUUAUUGUCAGGACACCAGGAAAGGAAUGAAGGAACCCACGAAGCUUUUAAAAAAACAUUCUACCCAAGUCUACCUGGGACCUUCCUUGAGAAUAUGUAUAUCGGGAAGGAAUGUAAACGUGCAUGUAAUAAGACUCCUAUAAAACGAACUCAAGCAUAGAAGAAUCGUAGGAGAAUGAUUAGGCAGAUUUUAUUACUACGUACUUGGCUAUUUCUCUGUCUCCUUUUAAAGAUUAAACAGAGUUUAUGAUGAGUGUCCCACUGUGGAUGUUCAACUUUGACUUGGCAACAUCUGUAAAUGUAAUACCUGAUGGUUAUAAGCAUUUCUCAAUGGAUUUCUGCUUCAGUUAAUCAACAUUUUGUAUACUUUAUCACCCAUGAGAUCAAUAUUCACAUGUAAUCUUCUCAUAUUUUUGUGGCACGUGAAUAUUAUAUAGGUAUAUCAACUAUUGGUAAAAAUAAAUAAAGGCAUAAAU